UAAAAGCAUCUUCUUCUAUCCAUUCUACAGAACACAUCGAAUUGCUUCCCAAGAAUCAAACUUACAGGAAUAUCCAAGGCAUAAACCCAUCAAAUUAUUUCUCUUUAUUUCUAUAACUUGAGGAGCCACUGAACUGCAGUCUAGUGAGUCAUAAGCGAACUAAUUGCAGGGCGUCUCUCCUCUGGCAGAAAACCCUAAUUAAUUUUCCCAUUGUCGAAUGAUUUUGGAUAUAUGGAAGAUUUAGAACGCUAUUUGCCAAAGGAGAGUUGCCCUGUAUCUGGUUUGCUUAAUCGAGUCAAGAAAAUGAAUGAAGGUGUGGAUAAGUUCAUAAAGGGAAAACCAAGCAUACUAUAUAGAACAUGGUACGCAUUGUGGUGUGGCAACUCAUGCACGAUCAACAGAUAAAUAUUGUCUCUAAAACCAGAAUCAUAACAAUGUGGCAAAACAAUUGCCACAUUGUUUUUUUGGAGCCACAACCUAAUUGUUGAAUGCGUUAGCACGUCUUACUUAUUCAAAUAGUGGAAUCUUUCUUAAGAGAAUCAUAAAUUGUAACUUCGAACUUUAGGGUUGGAUUUUAAUUUGAGUUUGACAUAUAUAAUUUUUAGUUUGUACAAAACUACGUGUGUGAUUUUGUCUAUAUGAUGCACACAUUAUCAUUGUUUUGAACUUUUUGAUUAUAUCAAUUUGUCUAAGACGAGAGAAAUGGUUGUAGGUCUCGAUCUUUUAUUACAUAUAAAAGAUAUGUAAUUAGAAAAAUUGGCAUCUAGCCAAAUAAUACUAUCUAUAAUCAAAGAUGUUUGAUUA